rnacentral:rRNA from 1 species
AGUCACUGACAUUAGAUACCCCCGUAGUCCAGGGUGUAAACGCUGCAGACUUGGUGUUGGGAACCCUUCGGGGGUGCUCAGUGCCGGAGAGAAGUUGUUAAGUCUGCUACUUGGGGAGUACGUCCGCAAGGAUGAAACUUAAAGGAAUUGGCGGGGGAGCACCGCAACGGGAGGAGCGUGCGGUUUAAUUGGAUUCAACGCCGAAAAACUCACCAGCAGCGACUGUUACAUGAAAGUCAGGUUGAUGACCUUACUAGAUUUUCAG